rnacentral:rRNA from 1 species
AUCUGCCCGGUAGUGGGGGAUAACGUGGGGAAACCCACGCUAAUACCGCAUACGUCCUACGGGAGAAAGCAGGGGAUCUUCGGACCUUGCGCUAUCGGAUGAGCCUAUGUCGGAUUAGCUAGUUGGUAAGGUAACGGCUUACCAAGGCGACGAUCCGUAGCUGGUCUGAGAGGAUGAUCAGCCACACUGGGACUGAGACACGGCCCAGACUCCUACGGGAGGCAGCAGUGGGGAAUAUUGGACAAUGGGCGAAAGCCUGAUCCAGCCAUGCCGCGUGUGUGAAGAAGGCUUUCGGGGUUGUAAAGCACUUUCAGCGAGGAAGAAAGCCUCUGGGUUAAUACCCCAGAGGAAGGACAUCACUCGCAGAAGAAGCACCGGCUAACUCCGUGCCAGCAGCCGCGGUAAUACGGAGGGUGCGAGCGUUAAUCGGAAUUACUGGGCGUAAAGCGCGCGUAGGUGGCUUGGCACGCCGGUUGUGAAAGCCCCGGGGCUCAACCUGGGAACGG